GUGCUUGUUUUGGCAGUGCAUGCUAAAUCUGGGACAAUACAAAGAAGAUUAGCACUGGCCCCUCCAAAAGGGUGAUUUGCAAAUUUGUGAGGCAUUUCAUAUUUUU
ensembl:snRNA Gm23013 U6 spliceosomal RNA